rnacentral:sRNA from 1 species
UUCAAAUGCAAAUUUCCUUAUUAAGAACGUGAAACUCAAAGAUCAAUGGCUUUUCAAAAGCAGCACACCAAACUGUCAAAGUGGUGAUCCCUCUUCAUUUGACAUGCUCACAAAGAGGAGAAUAAGACAAGAAAACAAGCUAACCCAGAAACAGUGAGAUGACAGUGCGCCUCAAACACAGGAAAAUAAAAUGCAUAACUAUACUGAUUGGAUGCUGCUCAAAAUCAGCCUACAUGCCAUCUUUGGUACGUGUGAACAAAGUUAUCAAUUCCUAUUCUAACUAUGAUAUACUCAAAACUGUACAAUCAGUAAUGGGAUGCUCUAAAGACAAAAAUAACUGCAAACCCUUUUUAAAAAAUUAUUUUCAGUAAUAGUGUUACUUUUUAGUAUUAAGAUUCUAAGAAUACCCUGUGGACAAUGUGGAAGAAACCAAAUGAAUACUUAUGUGAAUGUGAUAUUCUCAAAUUAUCAUCCCUGGUAUUCCAGAGUAACAAGAUUCUUGGUGGUGACAAUAAGAUAGAAGAAGUUAAAUAAAAACCUUGUAGUCUUUAAUUGAAAUAAAACUAUACAUUUAAAACUUUAAUUUAAAUAAAAUUAUGAUUGUUACAUCUUUUAAAUAGAAAAAAAAGGGCCUAGAAACAAUGAUCAAUGCAACAGCAAAUAAGAAUCCCUAGAACCUAAAUACCAUUUUUUUUGCUAGACUCAGCCAAUUUUUCAAGAAACCCUAUUUCCUUCUAAUGUUUCCUUCAAUGA